rnacentral:miRNA from 2 species
AUAUCGAACCUGUUGCAACAUG